rnacentral:rRNA from 1 species
CCUACGGGGGGCUGCAGUGAGGAAUAUUGGUCAAUGGACGAGAGUCUGAACCAGCCAAGUAGCGUGAAGGAUGACUGCCCUAUGGGUUGUAAACUUCUUUUAUAUGGGAAUAAAACGUUCCACGUGUGGGAUUUUGUAUGUACCAUAUGAAUAAGGAUCGGCUAACUCCGUGCCAGCAGCCGCGGUAAUACGGAGGAUCCGAGCGUUAUCCGGAUUUAUUGGGUUUAAAGGGAGCGUAGGUGGAUUGUUAAGUCAGUUGUGAAAGUUUGCGGCUCAACCGUAAAAUUGCAGUUGAAACUGGCAGUCUUGAGUACAGUAGAGGUGGGCGGAAUUCGUGGUGUAGCGGUGAAAUGCUUAGAUAUCACGAAGAACUCCGAUUGCGAAGGCAGUUCACUAGACUGCAACUGACACUGAGGCUCGAAAGUGUGGGUAUCAAACAGGAUUAGAUACCCUUGUAGUC